rnacentral:rRNA from 1 species
UACAGAGGUCUCAAGCGUUGUUCGGAUUCAUUGGGCGUAAAGGGUGCGUAGGCGGCUUGUCGCGUCGGGUGUGAAAGCCCGGAGCUUAACUCCGAAACUGCAUUCGAUACUGCCGUGCUUGAGGACUGGAGAGGAGACUGGAAUUUACGGUGUAGCGGUGAAAUGCGUAGAUAUCGUAAGGAAGGCCAGUGGCGAAGGCGGGUCUCUGGACAGUUCCUGACGCUGAGGCACGAAGGUCAGGGGAGCAAACGGG